rnacentral:rRNA from 1 species
UACGUAGGGGGCGAGCGUUGUCCGGAAUCAUUGGGCGUAAAGAGCGUGUAGGCGGCUUGGCAAGUCUGACGUGAAAGCCCGCGGCUCAACCGCGGAUUGUCGUUGGAAACUGCCUCGCUAGAGUCCGGAAGAGGAGAGCGGAAUCCUGGUGUAGCGGUGGAAUGCGCAGAUAUCAGGAAGAACACCCGUGGCGAAGGCGGCUCUCUGGGGACGGUACUGACGCUGAGACGCGAAAGCGUGGGGAGCGAACAGG